UUGGAGGGCAAGUCUGGUGCCAGCAGCCGCGGUAAUUCCAGCUCCAAUAGCGUAUAUUAAAGUUGUUGCAGUUAAAAAGCUCGUAGUUGAAUUUCGGGAUCAGUACGCUGGUCGUGCCUUCGGUAUGAACUGGUGUCACUGGUUCCUCCCUUCUGAAGAACCGUCAUGCCAUUCAGUUGGUGUGGCGGGAAAUCAGGACUGUUACUUUGAAAAAAUUAGAGUGUUUAAAGCAGGCUCGCGCUUGAAUACAUUAGCAUGGAAUAAUGAAAUAGGACGUUUGACCCUAUUUUGUUGGUUUCUAGGAUCGACGUAAUGAUUAAUAGGGAUAGUUGGGGGCAUUAGUAUUCAAUUGUCAGAGGUGAAAUUCUUGGAUUUAUUGAAGACUAACUACUGCGAAAGCAUUUGCCAAGGAUGUUUUCAUUAAUCAGGAACGAAAGUUAGGGGAUCGAAGACGAUCAGAUACCGUCGUAGUCUUAACCAUAAACUAUGCCGACUAGGGAUCGGAUGAUGUUAUUUUUAAUGACUCAUUCGGCGCCUUACGGGAAACA
rnacentral:rRNA from 1 species